rnacentral:lncRNA from 1 species
GGUCCCUUGUCUCCUUCUCUUCAUGAAACAUUUGAAUUUUUUGAUGAUUAAGGCCAAAUCUUCAUCUUUUUUGCUGUUCUCUGAUUUUUCAGUAUCUUCUUCUUUUUGAGUUAUCAACUUGAAAGUGAUAGUCUUCUUUUUUUUGAUCUCCUCCUCAGAGUGUUGCUUCAUGAUUAGCUCAUGAGUCAUGAGAGAUCCAAAUA